UUAAGGUGUGUUUUUCUGCUGUAAAUAUGGACAUACAUUAUUUGUGUAUGCUUUAGGUGGGCAUGAAGUUAGUAUCAGAUUGCCCAUAAAGAACCUACAUACAUGG